rnacentral:rRNA from 2 species
ACGAAGGGUGCAAGCGUUACUCGGAAUUACUGGGCGUAAAGCGUGCGUAGGUGGUCGUUUAAGUCCGUUGUGAAAGCCCUGGGCUCAACCUGGGAACUGCAGUGGAUACUGGGCGACUAGAAUGUGGUAGAGGGUAGCGGAAUUCCUGGUGUAGCAGUGAAAUGCGUAGAGAUCAGGAGGAACAUCCAUGGCGAAGGCAGCUACCUGGACCAACAUUGACACUGAGGCACGAAAGCGUGGGGAGCAAACAG